rnacentral:rRNA from 1 species
GACGAACGCUGGCGGCGUGCCUAAUACAUGCAAGUAGGACGCAGUUGCGAACGGGUGAGUAACGCGUAGGUAACUACCUAUUAGAGGGGGCUAACUAUUGGAAACGAUAGCUAAUACCGCAUACUAGUAGAUGGACCUGCGUUGUAUUAGCUAGUAGGUAGGGUAAUGGCCUACCUAGGCAACGAUACAUAGCCGACCUGGGGGGGGGGUCGGCCACACUUGGACUGGGGCACGGGCCAGACUCCUACGGGGAGCAGCAGUAGGGAAUCAUCGGAAAUGGGGGGAAACCUGACCGAGCAACGCCGCGUGGGUGAAGAAGGUUUUCGGAGCGGAAAGCUCUGUUGUUAAGGAAGCGGUACUUAACCAGAAAGGGACGGCUAACUACGUGCCAGCAGCCGCGGUAAUUC